rnacentral:tmRNA from 1 species
GGGCCAGUACUGGUUUCGACAGGGGUAAUGCACCUUUAGAAGCUAUCCGUCCGUGACGCGUCAGUUCACAAACCUAAAUAUAAACGCUGAUAAUAAAACAUUAGCUUUCGCUGCCUAAUCGCAGCGUGUCCGUGGUAUCAGUACCUGUCUUGAUAUCUUAGGGCAUCAUCUACCGACAGGAAACGACGUUUGGUUUGUCCCGGCCAAACGGGCGUAUUAGGGACUACCGACUUUAAGAGAUUGUCAAGCGUCUCUUAGGGAAGGGAAUUCUGAUGAUUGACUGUGAUAGGAGAAGGAGAGGGAAUUUGCUUUUGGACACGGGUUCGACCCCCGUCUGGUCCAUAA